GAUGAACGCUGGCGGCGUGCCUAAUACAUGCAAGUCGAGCGAACGGACGAGAAGCUUGCUUUUCUGAUGUUAGCGGCGGACGGGUGAGUAACACGUGGAUAACCUACCUAUAAGACUGGGAUAACUUCGGGAAACCGGAGCUAAUACCGGAUAAUAUUUUGAACCGCAUGGUUCAAAAGUGAAAGACGGUCUUGCUGUCACUUAUAGAUGGAUCCGCGCUGCAUUAGCUAGUUGGUAAGGUAACGGCUUACCAAGGCAACGAUGCAUAGCCGACCUGAGAGGGUGAUCGGCAACACUGGAACUGAGACACGGCCCAGACCCCGAGGGAGGCAGCAGUAGGGAAUCUUCCGCAAUGGGCGAAAGCCUGACGGAGCAACGCCGCGUGAGUGAUGAAGGUCUUCGGAUCGUAAAACUCUGUUAUUAGGGAAGAACAUAUGUGUAAGUAACUGUGCACAUCUUGACGGUACCUAAUCAGAAAGCCACGGCUAACUACGUG
rnacentral:rRNA from 1 species